AUAAAGUUGGAGGGAUCAUCUUGUGAAGAGAGAAGAGAAGUGGAAGGGCAAAAGAGCAAAACUGGCAGAUCAGAGGAGGGGAUCAAAUCCCUAGCGGCAACCAUCGAUCCCCUUUGGGCCUGGCUACAUAUCCCUCUCCCCCAACCUUCUUCUCCACCUCUGGCCGUCGCCGCGGCCAGGCCGGCAUGGCGGCGCGCCACCUAGUACCUCCACCCACUCCACAACGCUGCAGCACCUCCACCCGCGCUACCGCAACCCAUCCAUCCACCAGGCGCCAUCACAUCCAGCCACCAUCACCUCGCGCGCCCUACAAGACUAGAGGUCGUGGUUGUUUGGUGCCCCGCGCGAUUCUCCACCUCUCUUCUUCAACCUGCUGCUGUUCGCCCUCAACCCUCUCUGCUGCUUCUCUCACCCGGAUGCCCCUGCUGCUCCUUCUCCCACGUCUUGCUGCUGCUUCUCUUCUCUGACCCCCAUUGCUGUUGCCUUUUCCUCUGAACCCCUACCGCUGAUCCUUUUCCUCAACUCUCUCUGCUGCUCCUCUCACGCGGUCACGCCCCUGCUGCUACUCCUCUCAAAGCCCCCACGCUGCUGCUCCUUUUAUUUACCUCCUAUUCUGCGCUUCUUCUCUGAACCCAAACUGGUGACGCUCCUCUUCUCUCUUUACUUUUUGCAAAUUUCUGAAACUUGUAGGUGAACCUUGUGUAUUGUUCUAAACACCUAAUUUCUCUAAAAUUAAGAUAUGUAAUACUUUGUAAGGUUCAGAUUUUAAGAGUACUUGCAACCUGCUGUUUAUUUUGUUUCGUACUUGUAACUAUAAUGUACAAUUAAUAUUUGGUCUAUGUGAUUUUUCUUUCUGAGUUAGUAAUCUGCUAGCAUGUGUUUGUGUUCAUCCAUAUGAACUUGUUCCAUUUUGUAGUCCUUGUGUUAGCUCAAGUAUAUGUGUGUUUGUGAUGAGAAGUACUUCUAUUAUGUCCUAUGAUCUUGCUAUUACACUUUUCUUACAUGUUUGAUGUAUAUAUAUGUUCUGAUGUGUUGUAGUUCUCCUUGUUGUUGAUGGUUGCCUGUGCCAGUAUUGUAGUUCCCAAAGUAUAACAAAAAUACCAAAAAGAGAGUGAUUUCAAUCUUAAUCUCCCUAUGCUGUUUUGCAUUUUCUUUGUCGUCAACCUUGUUUAGUUUAGCUUUUUCUUGCAUUCAUAAUCAGAAUUGUGUUACCUAGCUUUAGCCGAGCAUAAUUGCCGUCGCCUAGUCCCUGUGGAGAACACGACAUCCGUAGCUUGGGGCAUAAAAACCCCGCUGUACUUUCAAUUAAUCAUUUUGGCGCCGUUGAUGAGGACUAGCGUCGAGCGAUUGUGUUAGGCUAUAGACUAGGUUUUUCUUCAUUUUCUAGUUUGUGCCAUAUAUUUGUGUUAUAUCUCUAAUCACUAACCCCUGUUCUAGCUAGUAUCUUUUUGUUUUCUUUUCAUUUUGCAGGUUAGAGCUAUCUACUCGGUUAUGGCAUAUUAUUCAGAUUGUCUUGGAGAUGCGAGGAACACUGCAAACAACACGGAAACUAUUCAAGAACUCAUAAGAUUUCCCAUCGAUUAGAUGAUUUAGCUCGGCAGCGAGAAGUAGUUUUUGAGGAUAGGCCUAGCUCUUAUGAUCCUUAUUCUAGAGGUCAUCCUUAUGUUGCUCCUACAUACCAUAUUUGUGGAUUUCAGGGCCAUUCACCCGCUGAAUGUCAGCGUGGUUACUCUCACUCUCCUGAUUGUUAUGGCAUGAGCUUCGCCCCACAGCCUAGCUCAUACCAAAACAAUUACUCAUAUGGGUGGCCUGAGAACCAGAAUAUGUCAUAUAGGAGCAACAACCCUGAGAUCUCACCAUUUGCUUCUAGUAAUCAUAUACAGGGAUUUAGGUACAAUGAGGAGAGCCACAACUAUGCUCGACAACAGAUUUAUUCAGCUCCUACUCAUAUACCUCAACACCAGGAGAUGUUGCCAAUGGAGUUAAAUGGUCCUCCAUUUGGUCAACCAACAACUCCAGCAACCGCCGAGCAAUCUCAUGUGCAAGUGCCCACACAAGAUGAAUUCGGUGACAUAGACAAGCUCACACUUUUGAGUCUCGAGUUCACUUGGAGUGCUGAGGAUGAUCCUAUUAGGAAGGUUAUACUAGAGGAAAUGAAGAAGAUCAAGAGUGGGAAUGAGCUAGUGGAUGAAGUAAAGAAGAUUGAGAAGAACAUCAACGCUGGCAGUACUAUUUCUUCACAGCUUGAGCUGAGUAAUUCUGGGAAUCCCCUUGAUACAUGUGAGGUUCCAAUACCAUCACAUCUAGCUGACCAAGAUAGCAAGUGCCUUGAGUAAGAGAUACCUCAGAUUGAAGAAGAUGAACUGGAAGACAAGGAACAAGAUGAUCAAGAGCUACAAUUCCCAAGUGAUCAAGUUGAAGACUCAUCAUCUACUACUCUUGAAGAAGUACAAGAAGCUACUGUAGAUGAAGAUGAAGAAGCUGAGAUUCAUUGGCCUAUUGUCAUACAUGAGCGUGAUGUGUCAGGUUUAUCCAAUCCUCUCAAUGACAUGCAUCCUUGUGAUUUCUUUGCUACUACCUUGCAUUGCAUGAUGCCAUCUGUUAAAGUAGAUUUGAAAAGGUAUUUGCUUGUAUAUGAUGAUAUAUACCCUGUUAGUGGUAUUAUUCUCAUUUGUGAUGAUCACAGUUACUUUCCUCGUGCUAGUCCUAUGCUUAAUGAAACAUAUAAUUCCAAUGCUAGUAUUGAGCUUAAUGAUAAGUUUCAUCCUCAUGUUAGUGUUGACCUUGCUGAUUUCUACCAUCCUAAACAUGUGCUUUAUAGCUAUGCUUAUGUAAUUGGAUAUUCGAUUAAUGACUUGGAGGGUAUUAUCCCUACCACUUGCAUUGUCUCUUUCGUUGAGUGCUCUUUCAAGUUCUUGCUUGUGCACAAAUCACUACAUGUUGACCAGGUUCGAGGUGACAUUCCUUGGGACCCCGGUGGAUUUAGAGCAUGGUGAAAAGGAGAAGCAAUGGGCACAUACAAGGAAGAGAAAAGCUGGAGCAUGCACGAGGAUAGAGAGCAUGAGGAUAGAGAAGCAAAAGGAGAGGAGUCACAAUGCAAGAGGAUGUGAGAUGAUCGAGCGAGUUCUACUUCAUAAAGCCUGGUGUAUACCAUGUGCUCUGGAUCGGUGGUAUGUUCCUUUGGGGAGGCAAACAAAAAAACUAAUAAUUGGUCGAGCCGGGUAUAUUCCAUGUUCUCGGGAUCGGUGGUAUGUUCCUUUGGUGAGAUCGAUAAAAUAUUAUCAUUGCUUUAUUUCUGUAAAUAAGUGAUCUGAUCACAAGUGUAUGUUCUUUUUGUUCUCGGGAUCAUGCUCUCUUUAGGAACCUUCGGCACAAUCAUCAUUUGAACUAGUUGAUCUUCUUUUAUCAUUGUAAAAGUUUAAAAUGGUCAAGUCUACUAAUAUCCUACCACUUUGAAGCACUCCUAACCAUUAAUUUUCACUAGCUAGGUUCAAAGCAUGCUUUGUUUGGAGAUCUACUUCACUUGGCAUUCUCUAGUCAGCUCACUGUUCACAAUCUUGCUCUUGUCAUAUUCCUUUGCUUGAGGACAAGCAAAGAUUUAAGUGCGGGGGAACUUGAUAGAGCAUUUCCUCAUAUAAUCUUUUUAUCCUUUUUGCACCACAUUGUAAUCAUAUUUUCACAUUUUUUACUUCAGAAAUAUUCAAAUACCCCCAUUAUGCUACAUUUACAACACUCCUCCAUGUUUUGCAGAAAAGGGCGAAAAGGCCCAAAAUCCUUCUAUAAUAGAGAGUGUCAAGAAACUAUGGUUGCUGUAACUUACGGAGGGACCCAACCGUGAAGAAAAGAAGUAACCAGAGGGAUCAAGAUAAAGUUGGAGGGAUCAUCUUGUGAAGAGAGAAGAGAAGUGGAAGGGCAAAAGAGCAAAACUGGCAGAUCAGAGGAGGGGAUCAAAUCCCUAGCGGCAACCAUCGAUCCCCUUUGGGCCUGGCUACAUAUCCCUCUCCCCCAACCUUCUUCUCCACCUCUGGCCGUCACCGCGGCCAGGCCAGCAUGGCGGCGUGCCACCCAGUACCUCCACCCACUCCACAACGCUGCAGCACCUCCACCCGCGCUACCGCAACCCAUCCAUCCACCAGGCGCCAUCACAUCCAGCCACCAUCACCUCGCGCGCCCUACAAGACUAGAGGUCGUGGUUGUCUGGUGCCCCACGCCAUCCUCCACCUCUCUUCUUCAACCUGCUGCUGUUCGCCCUCAACCCUCUCUGCUGCUUCUCUCACCCAGAUGCCCCUGCUGCUCCUUCUCCCACGUCUUGCUGCUGCUUCUCUUCUCUGACCCCCAUUGUUGUUGCCUUCUCCUCUGAACCCCUACUGUUGAUCCUUUUCCUCAACUCUCUCUGCUGCUCCUCUCACGCCCCUGCUGCUACUCCUCUCAAAGCCCUCACGCUGCUGCUCCUUUUCUUUACCUCCUAUUCUGCGCUUCUUCUCUGAACCCAAACAGGUGCCGCUCCUCUUCUCUCUUUACUUUUUGCAAAUUUCUGAAACUUGUAGGUGAACCUUGUGUAUUGUUCCAAACACCUAAUUUUUGUAAAAUUGAGAUAUGUAAUACUUUGUAAGGUUCAGAUUUUAAGAGUACUUGCAACCUGCUGUUUGUUUUGUUUCGUACUUGUAACUAUAGUGUACAUUUAAUAUUCGGUCUAUGUGAUUUUUCUUUCUGAGUUA